GCGGUCAACCUUAUUUGUCCCUGCGGGGCCUUGGGCAGCUAUGAAACAAUCUGCCAGCAAGGUUAAACUAUAUUACGCCACUCGGGAUAAACAAGUCUUGCAGCCUAAUUGCAGAGGAGCCGACCAGCCUAGAUUUGCCCCAAGGUUGCUAGCGGGCGUCUUAAGGUCACUCGAUGACCCUCUGGGGCCAUCCGAGGAACAACAACUUGGGAAUCUUCGCUCUCUUGCAAAGUGAGGUCAUGUUUUCCAAAAACCAUGUUCUCAUGUUGCCUGGCACACGCUAUCAACAUGCUUUGUGGAAAUACGGCCAAGCAGACAUACGGGCAUCCUGUGCCAUCGGGAGCGCUAACAAUGGACGAAAAACAAGUCGCUGAUACUGUACGAGCCGGUCCCUCCGGGAGAUAAAAAAGCCGCCCCUUGUGUUGUGUGGCUUGUGUUUGCCUCCCACGUACUAGUGGAUUAAUGGCUGGAGCUGCUGUGCUGAGAUGACUGAUGACUUUAGAGCUUUGAACCCCCCCCCACACACACACACCAAGCUGUCACCUCACUGUCUCCGGCGGGGUCGCUGGACGGCGUCACCUCGCUCUUACAGGAGAUAAAGGUGACAAGAUGAUGUCCCACAGGCCCCGCUGUCAAUCGAUGGAUCAUUAAAAAACAAAAGCACCUGCAGAGAAUCACGUUCCUUUGCGUCAAGUUAGACUAUAUAAAAUAUAAUGUUCAGUUUUAAUAAUCAAAGAUUGUAAUUCGAUUAUUAUUAGAUUUUUUUAUUAUUGUGAUUGUAGUUAACACAGCAGAGCGAGUAGGUGCCGUUCCUAAUAUUUUGACCAUCCCUCAUACCUACUGUGAUGACUCCUCACGCCGGAGUCAUCAAAACACCUAAUUAUGACUCGGUCCUGACGUGCCCGCUCACGACUGUAAACAUCCGCAAGACGAUUUAGAUGUGAAUCAUGGUUGAAUUUAUGGAUGUAUUACUUGUUUGUCAUUCGGGGCGAGAAACAUGUAGCGUCUUAGUUGAAUGAUUAAAGGAGACAGAUCUUCUA